rnacentral:rRNA from 1 species
UACGUAGGGCGCAAGCGUUGUCCGGAAUUAUUGGGCGUAAAGAGCUCGUAGGCGGUUUGUCGCGUCUGCUGUGAAAACCUAAGGCUCAACCUUGGGCUUGCAGUGGGUACGGACAGACUAGAGUGCGGUAGGGGUGACUGGAAUUCCUGGUGUAGCGGUGGAAUGCGCAGAUAUCAGGAGGAACACCGAUGGCGAAGGCAGGUCACUGGGCCGCAACUGACGCUGAGGAGCGAAAGCAUGGGGGAGCGAACAGG